AUGCAGGCAGAGAUGCUCCCACUCGUCCACCGGUUCCAGCUCCUCGAGGUGCCCGCCUGCGAAUCCAUAUUUCCAAAAGGUGCUCCAUGGGCGAGAUACUGUGGCAACUACAAAGGCCUCCACAUUGACCUUGUAUGGCCUGGAAAAGAUCCCGCUCUCGGAGUUGACAGUGUUGGUACAUUAUCAGCAGCUCUUGUGACAUACGCUUCUAUACAAUUCUUGAAGCCAGACCUUAUUAUCAAUGCCGGUACUGCUAGUUGCUUCAAGGCCAAAGGAGCAGGCAUGGGAGAUGUCUUCUUGGCAUCAGACGUUGUGUUCCACGAUAGAAGAGUACCGAUCCCUGUCUUAGGCCUGUAUGGAAAUGGAGCCCGGAAGACAUUUCUGACCCCAAAUAUGUUGAAGGAACUCAAUUUGAAGGUUGGGAAGCUUUCAACCGGCGAUUCUCGAGAUAUGUCUCCGCACGAUGUGUUAGAAAUACUGAGUAAUGGUGCUACAUUAAAGGAUAUGGAGGGAGCGGCGGUGGCACAUGUUGCUGAUAUGUUUUCAACACCUGCAAUCUUUGUCAAAGCUGUGACUGAAAUUGUCGAUGGAGAGAAGCCAAGGGCUGAGGAGUUUCUUCAAAACUUGACUGCUGCUACGAAGGCCCUGGACCAAGCUGUGGCCGAAGUGGUCAAUUUCAUCAGUGGCAAAUGCUAA
rnacentral:rRNA from 1 species